rnacentral:rRNA from 1 species
GAGACAGCAGUCGCCGCGGGAAUACGAAGGGGGCUAGCGUUGCUCGGAAUGACUGGGCGUAAAGGGCGCGUAGGCGGCGGCCAAAGUCAGGCGUGAAAUUCCUGGGCUCAACCUGGGGGCUGCGCUUGAUACUUGGUUGCUUGAGUGGGGAAGAGGGUCGUGGAAUUCCCAGUGUAGAGGUGAAAUUCGUAGAUAUUGGGAAGAACACCGGUGGCGAAGGCGGCGACCUGGUCCUUGACUGACGCUGAGGCGCGAAAGCGUGGGGAGCAAACAGGAUUAGAUACCCCCGUAGUCCCUGUCUCUUAUAC